ACAGUGAUGGUUCAGGAGUAGAAUGCUCUACUGCCAUGCGGGAGACCUGGGUUCGAUUCCCAGUUAAUGUG
rnacentral:tRNA from 1 species